CUGUAAAAUCAGAUGAAGUACAGAAUCUAAUCGUUACCUCAACUGUAAGAUACGUUGCUGUUUUUCAUGACCAUUCCUUUAGCGCCUCCAUCAGAACAAAUGUUAUCGGAUUUAGGUGACAUCUUAUGAGGUGGAAAUAGUGGAAUCUCCAUUCAGCGAACACGAGAUGGUCAUCCAGUGGCUUGCAUCUGAGAAUCUCAAAUAUGAUUUUGUGGAUUUCCAAAAAGUGUUGGUGGAGCUGGAUCCUGGAAACGUAUUCCUGUCUUGAAAGUUCUGCUGAUGUAACUAUUCCAGUAAUAGUGGAUUUCCAUUUAUAAGAAA